rnacentral:rRNA from 1 species
UACGGAGGGUGCAAGCGUUACUCGGAAUCAUUGGGCGUAAAGCGCACGUAGGCGGUCUCUUAAGUCUGGCGUGAAAUCCUGGGGCUCAACCUCAGAUGGCCGUUGGAAACUAAGAGACUUGAGAAUGGAAGGGGUCAGUGGAAUUCCUGGUGUAGGAGUGAAAUCCGUAGAGAUCAGGAGGAACACCGGUGGCGAAGGCGACUGACUGGGCCAUUUCUGACGCUAAUGUGCAAAAGCGUGGGGAGCAAACAGG